CGGGAAGAGCUCAAAUUUAAAAUCUGGCGUGCCUCUGGUCGUCCGAAUUGUAGUCUGAAGAAGCGUCUUCUGUGUUGGACCGUGUACAAGUCUCUUGGAACAGGAAGCCAAAGAGGGUGAGAGUCCCGUCUUGGACCGCGGUAGGGCUCGUGUAAAACUCCUUCGAC
rnacentral:rRNA from 1 species